GACGAACGCUGGCGGCGUGCCUAAUACAUGCAAGUCGAACGCAGUGGGGACGGGUGAGUAACACGUGGGUAACCUCCCAUCAGAGGGGAUAACACUUGGAAACAGGUGCUAACCCGAUACGUGUGGAUCGCACCGCGGUGCAUUAGCUAGUGGGUGAGGUAACGGCUUACCCAGGCCACGAUGAAUAGCCGACCUGAGAGGGUGAUCGGCCACACUGUGACUGAGACACGGCCCAGACUCCUACGGGAGGCAGCAGUAGGGAAUCUUCGGCAAUGGACGAAAGUCUGACCGAGCAACGCCGCGUGAGUGAAGAAGGUUUUCGGAUCGUAAAACGCUGUUGUUAGAGAAGCGGUAUCUAACCAGAAAGCCACGGCUAACUACGUGCCAGCAGCCGCGGUAAUAC
rnacentral:rRNA from 1 species